ACGGAAGGCAGCAGUGAGGAAUAUUGGUCAAUGGGCGCGAGCCUGAACCAGCCAAGUAGCGUGCAGGAUGACGGCCCUCCGGGUUGUAAACUGCUUUUAGUUGGGAAUAAAAGAGCGUACGUGUACGCUGUAUUGUAUGUACCAUCAGAAAAAGGACCGGCUAAUUCCGUGCCAGCAGCCGCGGUAAUACGGAAGGUCCGGGCGUUAUCCGGAUUUAUUGGGUUUAAAGGGUGCGUAGGCGGCAUCUCAAGUCUGUGGUGAAAUGUCAGGGCUCAACCUUGGCACUGCCAUGGAAACUGGGGGGCUAGAGUGCGUUUGGGGUGCAUGGAAUGUGUGGUGUAGCGGUGAAAUGCAUAGAUAUCACACAGAACGCCGAUCGCGAAGGCAGUGCACCAAGCCGCGACUGACGCUGAGGCACGAAAGUGCGGGGAUCGAACAGGAUUAGAUACCCUGGUA
rnacentral:rRNA from 1 species